rnacentral:rRNA from 1 species
GCGCGAAAACUUUGCAAUGCUGGCAACAGCGAUAAGGGAACCUCGAGUGCCAGGUUACAAAUCCGGCUGUCGAGAUGCCUAAAAAGCAUUUCAUAGCAAGGGCCGGGCAAGACCGGUGCCAGCCGCCGCGGUAACACCGGCGGCUCGAGUGGUAACCGUUAUUAUUGGGUCUAAAGGGUCUGUAGCCGGCCGGAUAAGUCUCUUGAGAAAUCUGGCAGCUUAACUGUCAGGCUUUCAGGAGAUACUGUCUGGCUCGAGGCCGGGAGAGGUGAGGGGUACUUCAGGGGUAGGGGUGAAAUCUUGUAAUCCUUGAAGGACCACCAGUGGCGAAGGCGUCUCACCAGAACGGACCUGACGGCAAGGGACGAAAGCUAGGGGCACGAACCG